rnacentral:rRNA from 1 species
GCAGUCGCCGCGGGAAUACGCAGGGUGCGAGCGUUAAUCGGAAUUACUGGGCGUAAAGCGUGCGCAGGCGGUUCGUUAAGACAGAUGUGAAAUCCCCGGGCUUAACCUGGGAACUGCAUUUGUGACUGGCGAGCUAGAGUAUGGCAGAGGGGGGUAGAAUUCCACGUGUAGCAGUGAAAUGCGUAGAGAUGUGGAGGAAUACCGAUGGCGAAGGCAACCCCCUGGGCCAAUACUGACGCUCAUGCACGAAAGCGUGGGGAGCAAACAGGAUUAGAUACCCCUGUAGUCCCUGUCUCUUAUA